UUGAACGCUGGCGGCAGGCUUAACACAUGCAAGUCGAGCGGAGAGAGGUAGCUUGCUACUGAUCUUAGCGGCGGACGGGUGAGUAAUACUUAGGAAUCUGGCUAUUAGUGGGGGACAACAUUUCGAAAGGGAUGCUAAUACCGCAUACGUCCUACGGGAGAAAGCAGGGGAUCUUCGGACCUUGCGCUAAUAGAUGAGCCUAAGUCGGAUUAGCUAGUUGGUGGGGUAAAGGCCUACCAAGGCGACGAUCUGUAGCGG
rnacentral:rRNA from 1 species